rnacentral:rRNA from 1 species
AACGAACGCUGGCGGCAUGCCUAACACAUGCAAGUCGAACGGUAACAGGUCUUCGGAUGCUGACGAGUGGCGCACGGGUGAGUAACGCGUGGAUAUCUGCCUAUGAGUGGGGGACAACUUUCGGAAACGAAAGCUAAUACCGCAUAAUCUCUACGGAGCAAAGCAGGGGACCUUUCGGGGCCUUGUGCUUAUAGAUGAGUCCGCGUCAGAUUAGCUAGUUGGUGGGUAAGAGCCUACCAAGGCGAUGAUCUGUAGCUGGUUUGAGAGGAUGAUCAGCCACACUGGAACUGAGACACGGUCCAGACUCCUACGGGAGGCAGCAGUGGGGAAUUUUGCACAAUGGGCGCAAGCCUGAUGCAGCGAUGCCGCGUGUGGGAAGAAGGCCUUUGGGUUGUAAACCACUUUCAAUUGGGAAGAAGGGAUGAGUAUUAAUAAUACUCUGACUUGACGGUACCUUUAGAAGAAGCACCGGCUAAUUUCGUGCCAGCAGCCGCGGUAAUACGAAAGGUGCAAGCGUUGUUCGGAUUUACUGGGCGUAAAGAGAUCGUAGGUGGUUUGUUAAGUUGGAUGUGAAAUCCCGGGCUCAACCUCGGAACUGCAUCCAAAACCGGCAGACUAGAGUUCGGGAGGGGUAAGCGGAAUUCCGUGUGUAGCAGUGAAAUGCGUAGAUAUACGGAGGAACACCAGAGGCGAAGGCGGCUUACUGGACCGAUACUGACACUGAGGAUCGAAAGCGUGGGUAGCAAACAGGAUUAGAUACCCUGGUAGUCCACGCCCUAAACGAUGUCAACUAGUCGUUGCGGGUAUUGACCCCUGCAGUGACGCAGCUAACGCAUUAAGUUGACCGCCUGGGAGUACGGUCGCAGGAUUAAAACUCAAAGGAAUUGACGGGGCCCGCACAAGCGGUGGAGCAUGUGGUUUAAUUCGACGCAACGCGAAGAACCUUACCUGGGUUUGACAUCCUUAGAAUACUUUAGAGAUAGAGUAGUGCCUUCGGGAGCUAAGAGACAGGUGCUGCAUGGUUGUCGUCAGCUCGUGUCGUGAGAUGUUGGGUUAAGUCCCGCAACGAGCGCAACCCCUAUUGUUAGUUGCCAUCAUUAAGAGUAGUCAGAGCUAGU